UGCAUUUUCCAUGUGAACAAGGAAUGAAAUGUUAAAAGUCAUCCUUUCUUUCCCAACAUCUCCAGCAUCAGUCUUGUAUCUCUCUUGCUUCUGGCUGCCAUAGCUGUUCCAGUGCCUGUGUAAAACCAAGGCCUGCAUCUUCAUGAUCUGCCCACUGAGGUUUUCAAUUGCUGCUUACUCAGGGGCCCACCUCUCCAUCACAGGAAAGAGUAGCUGUCCCCAGGAACAUAACCACCGAGUGACAAGACUUCUACAGAAGUAAGAAUUGACUUCUUGUCCAGUUCAGCACACUGACAUCCAUCAGCUCAAUAUCCCACUGGCACUUGUGGAAGAAGAUUACAAAAUGGAGUCACAUGCAUCAAGAGUACCUUAAAUGGACCCAGGAAGCCAUCAGGGAAGUGCGGCAUAUGCGCCUCUUUACCCAGAGAGUAUGUAAACUUUUGAAUUAUGCUUCACUGCUGGCAUCCUGACCUUCAUUCAAGACAUAUGCUUUCUUGGGGCCAGGCUGGUAGCACCUCAGGAACAGAGAAUGAAAUAACUAUGGCUGAGCUGUCAAAGCCCCUGGCAGUGUGUUUCUCCACUCCCUCCACGACUGCCUCUCUCCAAGCAUACAGCAUUUCCUCCGUGAACGAACUUACCCUCAGCCUUCCUCAGAGGCCUUCACUGUUGAACCAGUCCUCAGGGUGCCCAUCGUCUUUCCUCUGGAUGCCUACCACAGCAUGGCUUGCCAAGUGCUGCGCAGGUCUAUACCUGGGAUCUGAACUGGCGAACCCUGGGCCGCUGAAUGAGAACAAGUGAACUUAACUUCUGCGCCACUGGGCUGGCCCCUCAAUCUGUAUCAUUUUUACCAUCAUUUAUCCUUGUCAUCAGUUUGUCAUAGUAACUCUCCUUUUGCUCCUUGUGCAUGGUCCUUGUGCAUGUGAUCUUCGGGAUGCUGAGGAAUGAUAGUUGACUCUCCUCUCAAUCACAACCACCUUCCUGUUACCUCCUAACUGGAUCUGGCUUUCCCUGAAGUCUGCCAUGGGGAGGAGAUGACGUGUUAGAGGAUGCGCGGUGCUUGGUCUGUCUCAGUGUCUGCAUCAGUACCUCUCUGCCUCUGAUGCCUUGAUUUGCCCUUUGCUCAGACUUAAUGCUCUCACAGGCCACAGAGUGACUGCAGGCGAGGGAAGCAGUAGGGACCCUGCAAAACUUCCUCCCUCAUACCAUGCUCCCCAUUGUACCCCAUCCUCUUGCUGCUAUGUGGGUGCUGUUGUGAUUGCAGUUUGUAUAUUAAAGUAUUGUCAUAUUAAAUAUAUUUUGUUGGUCUAACAAUAAAAAACACUUCAUCCAAAAAAACAAAAUGAGCCACAUGGUCCAGUCAAAGACCCUCUCUUCAAUCUCUCCAUACCACAGGCACAGUUUCUUUGCCAAGAUUGCUGGCGUCUAACAUCUAAAGUCUAGCAUCCCUAAGCUCAUAUUUAGUACUCACCAUAAGAAAGGUGCCAGAUUUGACUAGGGCUUCAAUUCCCAUGACUGGGGCAACUGGCAGUAGUGUUUGUUCUCGCAGCCUUUGGAGAACACCUUCCCCACUGGGCCAUUCGUGAUAAGGCCACCGUCACUGACUCACUUCCCUCCUGCUUAUCUGGGGCAGUUCCAGCUCCAUUUCCUGAUAGGACAAAACAAAAACAAAAACACCUUUUAAAUGAAGACUUUUGAGGAGGUUUUCUCUAUAACACACUCGUUAAUCACAGGGUAUAUGUGUGUUUGUGUGUGUAUUUAGGGGAUGUGGGAAGGGUUGGCAAUGGCAUCAAAGGCAGGUAUACUGUGAAGUGAAAGAAGUUUAAGCUUCAGCACUCCACUUUUACAAAGUCUCCUUCCAAAGCCCUGAAAAGACCUUAGCAAUUUGUUCACCUGGAAGUCACAUUCCAGUAAAAUUUACAAAAGAUCAAAGAAUUUACCACAAUUGGUUUAAUGACCAUCUCUUUCCUUUCUGAUAGCUAGGUAGAUUCCCCUCAAGCAUGAGGUGUGUAGAAUAGAGGGUGUUGGUAGAAAGCAUGAGAGUAAGGGAGGCUAUUUCGGAGAUCUGGUUAAAGGGAGUUAAGUUUGGCAGAGUCGAGUCUGUUUUGGUGGUUUGCAGCAUAUCUCUGUACAGCUACAUUAUUGCUAGCGUGGUUUCACAGGCUCGUCAGUAACAGGAGUGAGAAGCUGAAACUUUUCUCAAUUCUCAAUAGUAAAAGAAUCCAAUUUAGACCAAACUUCUAGAGAAGUGACUGAAUUACUUUUAUUUCCUCUGUACAUAACAAUAUCAUAAAAUCCUUUUUAUAUGAAAAAGAUGAUCAAAGAGUAAACAACAGAAAGAUAAAGGGGUGAAAAGUAAUAUAGAGAUGGUUUGGGUAAUAAAAAAUGCCUUUUUUCUGGGUUUUGUGAUGUUUUGCUGUUCUUUAAAAUCUGUAAUUUGUUGUAAUUUCUUUUCUUAUUCUAAAUAAAUCUUCACUUUCAAACUUCA
ensembl:lncRNA